rnacentral:rRNA from 1 species
UACGGUAGGGUGCGAGCGUUAAUCGGAGUUACUGGGCGUAAAGCGUGCGCAGGCGGUUCGCUGUGUCCUGUGUGAAAGCCCCGGGCUUAACCUGGGAAUGGCAUGGGAAACUGGCGAGCUUGAGUGACGGGCAGAGGGGGGGUGGAAUUCCGCGUGUAGCAGUGAAAUGCGUAGAGAUGCGGAGGAACACCGAUGGCGAAGGCAGCCCCCUGGGUCGACACUGACGCUCAGGCACGAAAGCGUGGGGAGCAAACAGG